rnacentral:rRNA from 1 species
GGAUCCAGACUUUGAUUCUGGCUCAGGAUGAACGCUAGCUACAGGCUUAACACAUGCAAGUCGAGGGGCAGCGGGAUUGAAGCUUGCUUCAAUUGCCGGCGACCGGCGCACGGGUGAGUAACGCGUAUCCAACCUUCCGUACACUCAGGGAUAGCCUUUCGAAAGAAAGAUUAAUACCUGAUAGUAUCUUAAGCACACAUGUAAUUAAGAUUAAAGAUUUAUCGGUGUACGAUGGGGAUGCGUUCCAUUAGGUAGUAGGCGGGGUAACGGCCCACCUAGCCAACGAUGGAUAGGGGUUCUGAGAGGAAGGUCCCCCACAUUGGAACUGAGACACGGUCCAAACUCCUACGGGAGGCAGCAGUGAGGAAUAUUGGUCAAUGGACGAGAGUCUGAACCAGCCAAGUAGCGUGAAGGAUGAAGGUCCUACGGAUUGUAAACUUCUUUUAUAAGGGAAUAAACCCUCCCACGUGUGGGAGCUUGUAUGUACCUUAUGAAUAAGCAUCGGCUAACUCCGUGCCAGCAGCCGCGGUAAUACGGAGGAUGCGAGCGUUAUCCGGAUUUAUUGGGUUUAAAGGGAGCGCAGACGGGUCGUUAAGUCAGCUGUGAAAGUUUGGGGCUCAACCUUAAAAUUGCAGUUGAUACUGGCGUCCUUGAGUGCGGUUGAGGUGUGCGGAAUUCGUGGUGUAGCGGUGAAAUGCUUAGAUAUCACGAAGAACUCCGAUUGCGAAGGCAGCACACUAAUCCGUAACUGACGUUCAUGCUCGAAAGUGUGGGUAUCAAACAGGAUUAGAUACCCUGGUAGUCCACACGGUAAACGAUGGAUACUCGCUGUUGGCGAUAUACUGUCAGCGGCUUAGCGAAAGCGUUAAGUAUCCCACCUGGGGAGUACGCCGGCAACGGUGCAACUCAAAGGAAUUGACGG